rnacentral:lncRNA from 1 species
AAAAGUGACAAAUGUGAAAAGAUGUUUAUUAUUGAAGAAUCUUAUGGGACUGGGUGAGUCCAGCUUUUUUAAUAUUUGAAAAUUUUAUAGCAAAACUCAUAAAGUAUCACCCAAACAGUUCAAAUUCUAUUUUUGUGAAUUAAAGCAACCAUAGUAACUUCUCUAAGCCUGGUUUUUCGUUUCUGCAAUUGAGAUGUGUCCACUUCCUGAAAAUAGAAACAUCAUUUCUAAAAGAAAUGGAGGAAAUUCCCACUGGGUCACUAGGCAAUGCUGAGCUGACGUGGAUCUGGGGUGAUCAGUCUGGACCUCUCAGAACACACACUGAGCCCGGAUCGGCUGAAUUCAAGCUCCCGUUCGCCUGCUUCCCGCAGACAAACAGCUGACUCAGCACUAAUCCAUCCGGCUGAAACAACUGGUCAGCCCUUCUGAUCCUACGGA